rnacentral:lncRNA from 12 species
AGAAAAAAGGAACUGUGCUCUUGUUCUGACGCGCUGUGUCAGCAUCUUUGACGCGUCUUUCUCCCUUGGUACCAAUGUCAAAGUCCUCAGGUCUCACCUGUGCAUUCUGCUUCUGAGAAACGUCUCACACCUUCCCUUGGUCGCCUCCUGCUCCCCCCUCCACCCACCCCGAGCUGCUGCUCGGGGGCUACUAGCCCUGUACCUCCCGCCCUGCUGCCCAAGACUUUCCUGAAAUACAAGUGUCUUGUCCCAGCUCUGUAGUCUCUCCUCCCUUGCUUCCAUUCUCCCCUACUCUGGGGACACCCAAGCUCUUUAUGUGUCUUCCUUGCCUUCCUUGGGGCUGAAUCAAAGUGUCCUCCCCAUAGUAACUCCGAGCUUUGCUUCUCCGGCCAACAGAUCUUGCCUCUCUCAUUCGUGGAGCCCAAGAAUGGCAGUGUAGGCAGCUCUUUGGGAAUCCCUGGAGAGGACAUAAGUGUCUGCCCAUGGGAGCGUGGGGCUUCUGAAGGCAACAUGAUGAGUGUGCCAGAGAUGUCUCUGGAGAGAACCAGAAAGGGGCCCCCAAGUCCCGACCUGGGUCCUUAGACAGCCCUUGGGGAUCCCGUGGGCAAAGAUGCUGGGUUGGUCUGCCACAAAUCAGUGAAGGCCUUGGAAGGGCUGGGAUGGAGCUGUACCCCAGCAGCUGACCCGGCCUGGUGUGCAGAAUGGAUACAGCACAGGCGUAGCAGGUGGUUGUCAAAUAAUGCAAAUAAUGUCAAAUAAUCACAAGACAGAGAAUGCAAGCAAGUGAGACAGGAGUUCUUGGCUUGGGUGGGGGCACCAACACUGACCGCAGUUGAUGGUGUGGCCCUUCUCUUUCCACAGCAGUUGCCAGGUGUGGCCGGGCAGGGGUAGCAGGCUGCUGCUUGCUCCUCAGAGGAACCCACUUUGGGCUGAAGCGGGAAAACUUCAGACGGGUUGUUCAGGUGAUAGCCAUGGCCUCCCAUCCCACCUGCGCCCUGCUGCAAAAUGAAAAUGGAUUCAUGUCUGUUCCUGGUGAACUCUUGCGCUGGCUCCCCCAGCCGUCCUAAGGGAAGUCUGGGCUGACCCCCAGGCCAGGUAGGCCCCUCUCCUCCCUCUCCCCCAAGUGCUGUGCUGCCUUUUGUCAAACCACUUUCCUCUGUGGAUUGUUCUUAUCUGCCUCUGCCCAUUGCCUUGGGAGUUCUCUGAUAGCGGAGGCUUUGUUAGGAUCUUUCUUAACCUUUAACCUCAUCAAUCCUCUGGGGGUUGAGGAGGAACCUUGUGAAUGACAAGAAGGGGGAGGGGUGGG